GAGCAUGUAAUAAAUGGCUUGAGAUUUAGUUUUGCAUACAGCUCACCAUUCUUUCCUUCCUCUCUCCUUGAUGGGAAAAAAGUAUAAUAAACUUAAACAGCUUGUUGAGUAAGCACGAAUGGCUCAUUGACAUAUGCUUUUGAUCCAUAUUUGAUUUCAAUAAGCCAAUGCCAUGGAUUAAUCUUCAUACCAUGCUUGUUAUCAAACCAUUGGC
rnacentral:lncRNA from 1 species